CUCGGGGGGCGACCCGGCCCUCGUGCCGGGCGACCCCGGAGGUCCAUCAAACUCUGCAUCCUUGCGUCGGAGUAUUGGAAGCAAAUCAAUCAAAACUUUUAACAACGGAUCUCUUGGUUCUGGCAUCGAUGAAGAACGCAGCGAAAUGCGAUAAGUAAUGUGAAUUGCAGAAUUCAGUGAAUCAUCGAAUCUUUGAACGCACAUUGCGCCCUUUGGCAUUCCGAAGGGCAUGCCCGUUCGAGCGUCAUUACACCAAUCAAGCCUGGCUUGGUAUUGGGCGUCGGCCGUCGGCCGCGCCUCUAUUUCCCCGGCUGGACGGUUCAAAUCUCAGCGUUGUGAUAAUCAAUUCGCGGAGCAGGAGGACCGGACGCGCCGUUAAACCUCAUUACAGGUUGACCUCGGAUCGGGUAGGGAUACCCGCUGAACUUAAGCAUAUCAAUAAGCGGAGGA
rnacentral:rRNA from 1 species